rnacentral:lncRNA from 1 species
GUUAAACAAAAAAGAGUUAAACCCCAAACAACCACUUACGUCUAGGUGAGCAAGCUUUUUUAGACAUCCGAUGGUAGUGUGAAGUUCUACCAAAUUACUACAUUCUUUAAGAUGUAACGUCUUGAGAUUUGGAGUUAGCCCAAAGUUAAGGGUCCUCAACUUUGAAUGACUAAUUUUUAAACAGACGAGCUUUCCACAUUCAUCAGCCAUGUGAAGUUCUUCCAAACAAUAACAGUUAUCAAGAUCCAAAUUCUUGAGAUUUGGAGUCAGCCCAAGGUUAAGGGUCCUCAACUUUGAAUCACUAAUUCUUAGAUAGGUGAGCUUUUCAUAUUCAUCACCCAUGUAAAGUUCUUCCAAACAAUAACAAUUAUCAAGAUCCAAAUUCUUAAGAUUUGGAGUCAACCCAAGGUUAAGGGUCCUCAACUUUGAAUCACUAAUUCUUAGAUGGGUGAGCUUUCCACAUUCAUCAACCAUGUAAAGUUCUUCCAAACAAUAACAAUGAUGAAGAUCCAAUUUCUCGAGAUUCGGAGUCAUCCCAAGGUUAAGGGUCCUCAACUUUGAAUGACUAAUUUUCAAAUAUGCGAGCUUUCCACAUUCAUCAGCCGUGUGAAGUUCUUCCAAACAAUAACAAUUAUCAAGAUCCAAAUUCUCAAGAUUUGGAGUCAACCCAAGGUUAAGGGUCCUCAACUUUGAAUGACUAAUUUUCAAAUAUGCGAGCUUUCCACAUUCAUCAGCCGUGUGAAGUUCUUCCAAACAAUAACAAUUAUCAAGAUCCAAAUUCUCAAGAUUUGGAGUCAACCCAAGGUUAAGGGUCCUCAACUUUGAAUCACUAAUUCUUAGAUAGGCAAGCUUUUCACAUUCAUUGGGCAUGUGAAGUUCUUCCAAAUAGUAAAAACUAUCAAGAUCCAAAUUCUUGAGAUUCGG